rnacentral:rRNA from 1 species
UACGUAGGGGGCUAGCGUUGUCCGGAAUCAUUGGGCGUAAAGAGCUCGUAGGUGGUUUGUCGCGUUGUUCGUGAAAACUCACAGCUCAACUGUGGGCGUGCGGGCGAUACGGGCAGACUGGAGUACUGCAGGGGAGACUGGAAUUCCUGGUGUAGCGGUGGAAUGCGCAGAUAUCAGGAGGAACACCGGUGGCGAAGGCGGGUCUCUGGGCAGUAACUGACGCUGAGGAGCGAAAGCGUGGGGAGCGAACAGG